AAUGAACGCUGGCGGCAGGCCUAAAACAUGCAAGUCGAACGGUAACAGGUCUUCGGAUGCUGACGAGUGGCGCACGGGUGAGUAACACGUGGGAAUAUGCCUUUUGGUACGGAACAACAGUUGGAAACGACUGCUAAUACCGUAUGGUCCCUUCGGGGUAAAGAUUUAUCGCCAAAAGAUUAGCCCGCGUUGGAUUAGCUAGUUGGUAGGGUAAUGGCCUACCAAGGCUACGAUCUAUAGCUGGUCUGAGAGGAUGAUCAGCCACACUGGAACUGAGACACGGUCCAGACUCCUACGGGAGGCAGCGGUUAGGAAUAUUGGACAAUGGGCGCAAGCCUGAUCCAGCCAUGCCGCGUGAGUGAUGAAGGCCUUCGGGUUGUAAAGCCCUUUAGCCGACGAAUAUAAUGACUGUAGUCGGAAAAUAAGCCCCGGCUAACUUCGUGCCAGCAGCCGCAGUAA
rnacentral:rRNA from 1 species